rnacentral:rRNA from 1 species
CACGUAGGCACCAAGCGUUGUCCGGAUUUAUUGGGCGUAAAGAGCUCGUAGGCGGUUCAGUAAGUCGGGUGUGAAAACUCUGGGCUUAACCCAGAGCCGCCACUCGAUACUGCUGUGACUUGAGUUCGGUAGGGGAGCGGGGAAUUCCUAGUGUAGCGGUGAAAUGCGCAGAUAUUAGGAGGAACACCGGUGGCGAAGGCGCCGCUCUGGGCCGAUACUGACGCUGAGGAGCGAAAGCGUGGGUAGCAAACAGG